UGGGGAGUACGGUCGCAAGAUUAAAACUCAAAGGAAUUGACGGGGGCCUGCACAAGCGGUGGAGCAUGUGGCUUAAUUCGAAGCAACGCGCAGAACCUUACCAGCCUUUGACAUCCCGCGCUACUUCCAGAGAUGGAAGGUUCCCUUCGGGGACGCGGUGACAGGUGCUGCAUGGCUGUCGUCAGCUCGUGUCGUGAGAUGUUGGGUUAAGUCCCGCAACGAGCGCAACCCUCGUCCUUAGUUGCCAUCAUUUAGUUGGGCACUCUAAGGAAACCGCCGGUGAUAAGCCGGAGGAAGGUGGGGAUGACGUCAAGUCCUCAUGGCCCUUACAGGCUGGGCUACACACGUGCUACAAUGGCGGUGACAGUGGGCAGCAAGCACGCGAGUGUGAGCUAAUCUCCAAAAGCCGUCUCAGUUCGGAUUGUUCUCUGCAACUCGAGAGCAUGAAGGCGGAAUCGCUAGUAAUCGCGGAUCAGCAUGCCGCGGUGAAUACGUUCCCAGGCCUUGUACACACCGCCCGUCACACCAUGGGAGUUGGUUUCACCCGAAGGCAGUGCGCUAACCGCAAGGAGGCAGCUGACCACGGUGGGAUCAGCGACUGGGGUGAAGUCGUAACAAGGUAGCCGUAGGGGAACCUGCGGCUGGAU
rnacentral:rRNA from 1 species